rnacentral:rRNA from 1 species
UACGUAGGGUGCAAGCGUUGUCCGGAAUUAUUGGGCGUAAAGGGCUCGUAGGCGGUCUGUUGCGUCAGGAGUGGAAAACUCGGGGGCUCAACCCCCGAGCUUGCAGCCGAUACGGGCAGGCUAGAGUUCGGUAGGGGGAGACUGGAAUUCCUGGUGUAGCGGUGAAAUGCGCAGAUAUCAGGAGGAACACCGGUGGCGAAGGCGGAUCUCUGGGCCAUUACUGACGCUGAGGAGCGAAAGCAUGGGGGAGCGAACAGG